rnacentral:lncRNA from 1 species
GGACUACAUGUAGGAGGAAUUCUACACUGUCACACUUGCACCACAUCAUCAAUAACAAGUUAAUCACAUUUCUUUUUUUCAAACAAAAGUACAAUAAAAAUAUUUUUUUAUAAUCAUGAUGGGACAUAUAUUUUUAAAAGAAAAUAUUUGAUUAGCUUGUUACGCCACGUCACCAAUAUACCCGUUGCAUUCUAGAAUUUUUCUACAUGUAGGGUGCUGUUGCCUGAUGGGCUGCUGUAGCCUAAUGGCUUAAUCUUAGAUAGGGAUGCAAACGGGGCGGAUCUGGGGGUGGGAGCCACGCCCCGCCUCCCGUCCCGAAUAGCAAAAUCCCGCCCCGCCUCACGCUCCGAAUCCGUGACGGGUUAAAAAAUACAUCCCAUAAUUUGUCCCGCCUCGUAACCAGCCUCCCGCCGGCGCCCCAAAUCCGCUCCGCCAACUAAUAUUUUUUAUAAAAUUAUAAUAUUAUUAAUAUUUUAUAAAUUAUAAAUUAAUAAUUUUUAAUAAUAUUAUUAUAUAUAUAAUUUAACAAUAUUAAUUAUAAAAAUAAAAAAUAUCAAUCACAAUUCAAAACAAAAUUCAAAAGUUUCAAAUACAUUAAAAGUGAGAGUACUAACUUAUUUAUAUUUUGAACUUUUUUUGUAAAUACAUUAUUUUUUAGGACUAUUUUUUUUAAAAUAUAAAUGAUUUUCGAGGCGGAUUCGGGGCGGAUCAUGGCGGGGCGGAUUCGGGGCGGGUCAAAAUUUUUCCCAUUUUCUGUCCCGAAUCCGUCUCGGAUCCUAAAAUUUACCCCGUUUUUCGCUCUGAAUUCGUUUAUUUUCUCCCGUUUACUGCCC